AACGCACAUGGCGCCUUCCAGUAUCCUGGGAGGCAUGCCUGUCCGAGCGUUGUUUCAACCCUCGAGCCCCCGUGGCCCGGCGUUGGGGAUCCGCCCAGGCGGUCCCCGAAAACCAGUGGCGGACCUGUCAGGCCCUUCUUUGCGUAGUAGCAUCAGCCUCGCAUCGGAAGCCUGCGGGACUCUGGCCUCUAAACCCCCCCCUAAAGUCCGCUCCGGCGGCACCAAGGUUGACCUCGGAUCAGGUAGGAAUACCCGCUGAACUUAA
rnacentral:misc_RNA from 1 species